AACGAACGCUGGCGGCAGGCCUAACACAUGCAAGUCGAACGAGCUGGGGGCUUCGGUCCCCGCUGCUAGUGGCGCACGGGCGAGUAACACGUGGGAAUAUGCGCUUUAGUAUGGAAUAACCAAGGGAAACAUUGGCUAAUACCGUAUACGCCCUUCGGGGGAAAGAUUUAUCGCUAUAGGAUUAGCCCGCGUCUGAUUAGGUAGUUGGCGAGGUAAUGGCUCACCAAGCCGACGAUCAGUAGCUGGUCUGUGAGGCUGGUCCGCCACACUGGGACUGAGACGCAGCCCAGACUCCUGCGGGAGGGGGCAGUGGCUGAUAUUGGACUAUGGGGGCAACCAUGAUCCCGCCAUGCCGCGUGAGUGAAGAAGGCCUUCAGGUUGUAAAGCUCUUUCAACCGGGACGAUGAUGACGGUACCCGUAGAAGAAGCCCCGGCUAACUUCGUG
rnacentral:rRNA from 1 species